AUCUGAAAAAGGCAAAAUCGGUGAAAACCGGUGACGCAAAGCCACGAGCCUAAUGCCAAACAGGCAAUGGUCGUCGGGUUGCUAAG
rnacentral:ncRNA from 1 species